rnacentral:lncRNA from 1 species
AUAAUGUCGAUAUGCUCCAUCCAAUAUCAUACUUCCAACUACUCACAAGCGACCAAUCGUUAGCAAGCUUUGGAUCGUCCUUUGAUAGUUGUUUAAUUAUCUUAGUCAAAACCGAUUCUAGUCCUUUUUCCCUCUAAAUGCGCUAGACAUUUGGAAAAUUUUAGAAUGGUCAAAUAUUAUAGCAUUUGCAAUCGAUCCUAUACCCGAAGCGUAUGGGACACGAUGCAUAAUGUCUUACAUAAAGAUACGAUACUUUAUGAAUCUUUUGCCAUAAUAUUUUAUGUGUCACGUUCUUACCAUUCGAACUAUGAAGAGGGAUACCGUAAUCAUAAUCGAAAUUUAAGANAUGCAUAAUGUCUUACAUAAAGAUUUGAUACUUUAUCAAUCUUCUGCCGUAAUAUUUUAUGUGCUACGUUCUCAAAAUUCGAACUAUGAAGAGGAAUGUCGUAAUCAUAAUCGAAAUUUGAGAACACACUAUGUAUCCUUGACUAAAUUUAUUAACAUUCCACAACCUAAGC